GACGAACGCUGGCGGCGUGCUUAACACAUGCAAGUCGAACGGAAAGGCCCUGCUUUUGUGGGGUGCUCGAGUGGCGAACGGGUGAGUAACACGUGAGUAACCUGCCCUUGACUUUGGGAUAACUUCAGGAAACUGGGGCUAAUACCGGAUAGGAGCUCCUGCUGCAUGGUGGGGGUUGGAAAGUUUCGGCGGUUGGGGCUGGACUCGCUGCUUAUCCGCUUGUUGGUGGGGUAGUGGCUUACCAAGGCUUUGACGGGUAGCCGGCCUGAGAGGGUGACCGGCCACAUUGGGACUGAGAGACGGACCAGACGGCUACGGGACGCAGCAGGGGGGAAUAUUGCAGAAUGGGCGGAAGCCUGAUGCAGCAACGCCGCGUGCGGGAUGACGUCCUUCGAGUUAUAAACAGCUUUCGCCUGAGACGAAGCGUGAGUGACGGUAAUGAGUAAAAAAGCACCGGCUAACUACGUG
rnacentral:rRNA from 1 species